CAAUCGGCCCUUUUCAGGGCCAACGUACGUUCAUAAAUGGGUUUAUU
rfam:Aedes aegypti strain Liverpool supercont1.884 genomic scaffold, whole genome shotgun sequence.